AGGGAUGACGUCAGAGAGAGCCUCAAACCGUCAGCGUUGGCCACCGCCUUGCACUGCGCCCAUGCUUGGAGCCCCGAGCCCCAGGCCAGGCCCUGCCCGCCCGCUCAGCCCUGCUCGCCAUGCUCCCGCCCUUGCUGCUGGGGCGGCCGGCAGGGAGCCCACCUGAGGCGCAGAGGGAGGCCAUUGCCGGGCGCUGCCACCAUGAGGAGUCCCGAGUCCUGGGGAGACAGGUCCUGUGCAGGGAACAGAGGGACGUGUCACUCACGCCUGCCGGGGCCAGAGCUCGACUCCGAGGGACCCCCAGUCACCCCAGUCCUCACCCGGUCUCCUCGCCACGGUUUAAAAUAGCCACACAUGUUCAAAAAUAGAGCAAGAAUGGGCACGUUUCUGAAGACUAUUUAAUGACUGGGACGGCUCAGGAUCCAAGUGGAACGAAAAAGUCUCAUGAUUCUCAUUGAAAAUUGAAUUAUCUCUGGGUGCCGGGAUUCCGGGUGAUUUUUUUUUUUUCUGAAUCCUUUUCAAAAUUGUCCAACGAGUCUGCAAUGAGCAUGGAUUUACCCUUCUCAGAGAAGAAAAUACUUAUUUAAAGCCAAAA
ensembl:lncRNA novel transcript